AUCAGUGUGUAGCAAAGUGAGUCUGGGCGGCUCGUGAACGCUGAGUGAGGUUGCGCCGCAGCUUUCCAGCCUCCCACAAGGCGUGGCUUCGCCUUUUGAUAGAGAGAAGUUUUUUUUUUUUUCUCUGAACAUCUCAUUCCUGUGAGCUGAGCACUGAGAGUUCACAAGAACUCUGCCCUCAUCACAACUUCUUCUGCAGAACCAUGAAGACGGUCACUAUUGAGUAUUGUAAAGACUGAAGUUAUGCGUACCGCUACCAGGAACUAGCCGGCGUUCUCCGGCAGAUUCCUGGAGUGAAGGUAAAAGGAGUCACGGGGAGGACAGAUAGCUUUGAGGUAUUCCUGGAGGAUGAACUUCUCUACUCAAAGCUAGAGACGAAGUCGUUUCCAGAUCCUGAGCAGAUGGCGGACAAGGUGAUGGAGAAGGUUCCUGACGAAAACGCCAAGAAGAAAUCCAAGAGACGGAUAUGCUCUGUCCAGUAAAAAGGUGGAGAAGCAAACAGUUAUAUUCACACCGGCAAAAAAAAAAAAACAACAAACAACAAAAAAAAGCUGUAAACCUGUUAUGCGCGUCCGGAGUAUGAAAAUUAGGGAAAGGAUUUUAAUAAGUGGAUGCAAAAUGGAAAGAGCCGACGCGGCUGUGUCGCGGCUGUGAGUGUAAACGAGACGUUUGUGAGAGCGGCUCUCUGGAUCCAGGCGGCGAUCGACGCCUCUUUUUAUGAAUGCACACACCUAAAACUCAAGUGGUGUGUGCACGAUGCAAGCCGAGAAGCUUCUCGGCCGCCUGGAGCCCGACGGUCUGCUUAAGUCCCAUCAAAGUCAUGAGGAACGGAGGGGGAGGGGAAGAGAUGUUCCUGAGAGUCUACGACUCUCAGGAACAUUCACUUAAUUUUUGACGUAUGUGAUGUCUUUAUGAUCUAAAAUAUCUCAUUAAUAUCCGUUUUCCUCUAUCAAAAGUUAAUUACAGAGGAGCAAUAAAGCCAUAAAAUCUGGGCUCAUUAUUCUAUUUUAUAUUUAACCUAAUCUCUGACCCACUUCUCUUCCCACAAUAUCCUGCUGACCAAAAAUAAGCUGCAGAGCUGAGAAACAUGUUUUUCAGAUUGUGAGUUGGGCCCCACAUGGGAACAGGGAAGCCUGGGAACGUAAGACCAAAAACGGCUGUACUUAAUAAACAUUUUAAUAGCACAUGAUAUUCAACACGUGUGUUUAUAUAUAUAUAUAUAUAUAUAUAUAUAUAUAUAUAUAUAUUACCCCCAAGGCAGAUAAUAUUUGAUUAAAACCAUGAAUUUGGGUGAAGCAAAUGUUGGUUUAUGUUAGCUUAGCUUUGCUAUUAUAUUAAAUAUUUUUUCAUCCAACCAACUGCAUAACAUUAAACAAAAAUAAAUUAAUUCUUGUCAGAUAUAAAAGUUGUUUUUUUUUAAGUAGACAAAGCUAUAAUUUCCCCUGAAUGUUUAUUUCAUGUUAUUUUAUGCUGUUAACUUCCUGUUCGUAGUUUUUUUUUUAUUUUACUUUCAGUUACUGUAAAACUAUAUAUAUAUAUAUAUAUAUAUAUAUAUAUAUAUAUAUAUAUAUAUUUGCAUCAACAUUAUUAUUGAAUAUGUUGAACUUUUCUUUCUUUUUUUUCUUUUCUUUUUGGUAAAUAUUUUUGGACAUUAAGUAAGACACAGAAUGUUUUUUUCCUAUCUUGAAUCUGGACAUAAAUGCCACGAUUUCCGCCAUUUGCAGACUUUAUGCUAAGUUGCGCUAACUUGCUGCUAGCGUGGGAGAUUUUCUUUAAGGUCGUGUUUAACGAUGGGAGUAGUCGGGUAAAGAAACGCCAGAAAUGUUUACUUUGGAUAUUUAUGACAAACCUCACAACAGGAACAACUGUACAAUAACAUUGUAAAGCAAAGUGCUACAUGGCCCGUAUUUGGACCCUUGAAGCACUGCUCCUGUAACACAUGUUGUCCCCGUUCAAUAAAAUGUAACUCAUUGC